rnacentral:tRNA from 1 species
GCCUGGGUGGCUCAGUCGGUUGAGCGUCUGACUUCGGCUCAGGUCAUGAUCUCGUGGUCUGUGAGUUCGAGCCCCAUGUCGGGCU